CCUACGGGAGGCAGCAGUAGGGAAUAUUGCUCAAUGGGGGAAACCCUGAAGCAGCAACGCCGCGUGGAGGAUGAAGGUUUUCGGAUUGUAAACUCCUUUUGUUAGAGAAGAUAAUGACGGUAUCUAGCACAUAAGCACCGGCUAACUCCGUGCCAGCAGCCGCGGUAAUACGGAGGGUGCAAGCGGUACUCGGAAUGUCUGGUCUGAAAGGUCGCGUAGGCGGGAUAGCAAGUCAGAUGUGAAUUCCUAUGGCUUAACCAUAGAACUGCAUUUGAAACUGUUAUUCUAGAGUAUGGGAGAGGUAGGUGGAAUUCGUGGUGUAGGGGUAAAAUCCGUAGAGAUCAAGAGGAAUACUCAUUGCGAAGGCGACCUGCUAGAACAUAACUGACGCUGAUGCGCGAAAGCGUGGGGAGCAAACAGGAUUAGAUACCCGUGUAGUC
rnacentral:rRNA from 1 species